rnacentral:rRNA from 1 species
UACGAAGGGGGCUAGCGUUGUUCGGAAUUACUGGGCGUAAAGGGCGCGUAGGCGGUGUGUCAAGUCAGGCGUGAAAGCCCCGGGCUCAACCUGGGAACAGCGCUUGAGACUGGCACGCUCGAGUUCGGGAGAGGAUGGUGGAAUUCCCAGUGUAGAGGUGAAAUUCGUAGAUAUCGAGAGGAACACCGGUGGCGAAGGCGGCCAACUGGACAGAUACUGACGCUGAGACACGAAAGCGUGGGGAGCAAACAGG